GGCCGGAUGGUGUAGUUGGUUGCAUCUCUGAGCGUCUAUCAGGAGGUCCCUGGUUCAAUUCCAGGCCUGGCCA
rnacentral:tRNA from 1 species